AGCAGCCGCGGUAAUUCCAGCUCCAAUAGCGUAUAUUAAAGUUGUUGCAGUUAAAAAGCUCGUAGUUGAAUUUCGGGAUUGACGUAAUGGUCGUGCCUUAAGGGGUAUGAACUGUUACUGUUGAUUUCUCACCUUCUGGAGAAACUUGAUGUCCUUAAUUGGGUGUCUUGCGGAUCCAGGACCUUUACCUUGAAAAAAUUAGAGUGUUUAAAGCAGGCAUUUUUGCUCGAAUACAUUAGCAUGGAAUAAUAGAAUAGGACGGCAUGGUUCUAUUUUGUUGGUUUCUAGGAUCACCGUAAUGAUUAAUAGGGAUAGUUGGGGGCAUUAGUAUUCAAUUGUCAGAGGUGAAAUUCUUGGAUUUAUUGAAGACUAACUACUGCGAAAGCAUUUGCCAAGGAUGUUUUCAUUAAUCAAGAACGAAAGUUAGGGGAUCGAAGACGAUCAGAUACCGUCGUAGUCUUAACCAUAAACUAUGCCGACUAGGGAUCGGAUGAUGUUAAUUUUUAAUGACUCAUUCGGC
rnacentral:rRNA from 1 species